CGGCGGCCGGCGCGCACGCGUCGUGCGCUUCUCCACGCGUGUACCGGUGCCAAUGUAACCAAACUUCCUUCAGGAACUUAGUGUUGGACAGCAGUGCUAUUUAUUUAGGACCAGAGACCUCGAGUCCACCAGUCAUCUAUCAUGUUCACGCACCAACGACAACAGUCAGGCGCAGAAUGUGACAUGAACUAAGAAGAAACGUGAUGCAACUAUUAAUGCUGAACUUCUUAAUAAUGUUCGACGUUGUAUUCGUGUUCUUCCUGUUUUUGAUCGCGGUGAUAUGCGUUCUGAGUUACAUGCCUGGGAGGAAAAGGAAACAGGUUGUUGAGGAAGAUGUAGACGAUGAUGUGAUUCCUCCGCCACCUCUCUUUGACGAUGCUGUGGCGUCCACUAGUCGGGAUACGUACGUGGUGAUACCGCCCCCUAUGGAUAAUGUUACGGCUAAAGACGGGUGUCCUAUACACGUGGUGUAGUCUAAGCACUGAUAUAAUAUAUCAACGUAGGAGUUUAUUACGAAGGAGCCUUAUGAGAAUGUAGGUGUCGGAAAAUAAAUAGUAGUCAUUUUUUACCAAUUAUAGGAGUAUAAAUAAAUUUCUUGUUAAACUACCUUUGGUGGCAUUAGGGACUCAAGAGAAAGUAAC